rnacentral:rRNA from 1 species
GAACCUAUAACUAGAUUAUAGGUAAAGGAUUUAAAAAUCAUGAUAGUCAAAUCCUAUUAGUGUUGUCCAAAUACUGGUGCCAGAAGACUCGGUAAGGCCAGAAACGCUAACGUUAAUAGUCUUGAUUAGGCGUAAAGGGUUCGUAGGCAUCUUUAUACCGAUUAAAGGUUGAAAUAAAGAUUGAAUCUUAUCCAAGACAAAGUUGAAUGUAAGAAGUAAGGGUGAAAUCUUUAGAUCUCUUCUAGAAGACUCUGAGCGAAAGCUAUAUGUUUGGGAAAGAUUGACGCUAAAGAACGUAGGUUGGGCUGAGAAAAAAGGAUUAGAUACCCAAGUAUUCCCAUCUGUUAACGAUGAAUAGUAGCUCUUCAGUUUAAAUAAAUAACUGUGAAGCGAAGCUAACGCAUUUACUAUUCCGCCUUGUGAGUACGACUGCAAAGUUGAAAACAAAAAAAUUAGUCGGUCUCGAAGCAAACGAAGUGAAGCAUG